rnacentral:rRNA from 1 species
UACAGAGGGGGCGAGCGUUGUUCGGAAUUACUGGGCGUAAAGGGCGCGUAGGCGGCCUUCUAAGUCGAACGUGAAAUCCCCGGGCUCAACCCGGGAACUGCGUCCGAUACUGGGAGGCUUGAAUCCGGGAGAGGGAUGUGGAAUUCCAGGUGUAGCGGUGAAAUGCGUAGAUAUCUGGAGGAACACCGGUGGCGAAGGCGACAUCCUGGACCGGUAUUGACGCUGAGGCGCGAAAGCCAGGGGAGCAAACGGG